GGAGGAGGAGGAGAAAAAGGGUGGUGAAUUCUUUGAUGGGUUUUUAGCAUAGAUGUGUGUAUUGUACACAUGAACGUGUUUUGGUGAAUUUAUUUAUUUAUUUGGGUGGGAUCUGCUUGGUGGUAAGGUGCACAAAGAGACGAUGGACAUAAUAACUUGGAUUUUGUAUGUGAAGCUAAAUUUAGUUAAAGGCCGACUCAUGUAGGUGGUGAAGGUGAAUACUGAAGAUUAUCUUUUUAGUCUCUACAUGCUUUUUUCUUUAGUGAUAUUUUUGGGAGGUUGGAUUUCAUCAGUGGCAGUUGGCCACAUUGAGCUGAAAUGACCAAACAGGACAUGAACAUGGCUAUUGCAUUGACCUUUAAUCAUUGAAGUUAAUCUAUGAUGUGUUUUUAUUUAGAUUAACUGGUCAGUGUGAUGUGAGCCUGUCCCUUAUAUUUAAGACUUUCGCUUAUUUUUUCACAGUAUCAAAUAGUUUGAUGCCUGAAAUGUCCCGGAUGUAAAAAAUAAUCAUUUUACCACCCUAA